AAGAUUAACACAAAUAAAUGUAUAAAACAAAGUACGAGAAUUCACCUAGAUUAUUAAACAAAAAGAAAAAAAAGAUUGCUGGUAACAGCUUAAACAUAUCUCUUAAACAUUGAUUAAAUUACUUUUUCAACUUACCAUCAUAGGUAAAUGAGUUUUAGUGUCACAUACUGCAACUGUCACCGCUUACAAAGAGUUAUAAAUAUAUGGUUAAUGUUGAGGACACAGGCAUGCAGUCAUACUGUAUGUCAAACAUACAAGAGGUGCUAACAACACAUACAAACACGUCAGGUGAAAACAAGCUGCAGUGGAAAACAGCCACAUUACCAACAAGUAUAAACUGAACUAAGAAUCUACUGCUUGACAAAUGGAAAGAUGGAAUUAAUGGCAAAAUUUUACAACGUUCAGGGGUGAACUGAUUAUCUAGCCAUAUUUAUGCUUCAUUGCAGAAAAAUAAACAAUGCAAAAAUUUUAUCCGUUUUCUAAAGUCCUCCGUAGGUAAUAAAUCUUUCUGGCACGAGGUGCUAGAUCUGAAAACCUUUGCCUCCAAAUCAAGUAAGGUGGUGAUGAUAUUCACAAUAUAUACCAUGCGCCAAAAUGGGACUUCAAAAAUAACACAUUUGUUUAAUACCAAUAUUCAUAUUUCUCACUAAAGCAGAAACAAUCUAAUUUUUAUUUUCUAUGUUUAUCCCAUUUCCAUUUCAUCAUAAUUAUCUUUUGUUUUGUUAGGUGGGAACAUUUAUGGACACAUUUAGAAGUCGCUUAGGGUAAAGAGAUGUAUAACAUCCACAUAUUUUCCAGAAAACUAAAAUUCAGUUGGUGUUUGCAUACAUUAAAUUGAGGGAAAAGUUUGGAUCGAACACCUUGUGCCUGACAAAUUGACAAUUGACUAAUCAGCUGCCCUAUUUUAAUGAUGAUUUAUACUACCAUGCUUUCCAAAGCAGUGCACCCCUGCCUGCAGUAAAACACACACAAACACUGAACAAUUAAGGACAUGUCAAUUAAAAGUAAGAGAGGACAUUGUCCAUCAACAUUAGUGAUGCACCAAUCAAUUAUCCAGACAGAGAAAUGAGACCAAUUUACAUUGAUUGGCUCAUUGAUUGGUUUGUUUUGCAUCUGCAUCAAAUGAAUCAAAACAGAAAUGACCAACUUUAUCCCCAUUUACAAAUGCAUCAACAUAUUGUGAUUCUAAUUGAGUCAUCUUUACCGAGUUACCGAGCAAAACUCAAAUUUAUUGGUCAGACCUCGAAAGAGAAGAAAGUUUGUCAGUGAAUGCCUGAUUGGUGUAUCUCAUUGAAAUGUUGAAGGGAAUCCAGUAUUAGAUCAGUCUGAGGCUCUAAGGGACCAAACAAAAAGUCCAAUGUGAAAAUGACUUUUGAGUCAACUACCUGUUCCCAUCUUUCUAGGUUUAUCCUAAAAAGGUGUGCAGUCAGAGUUGAAUGGAAAAUUAGUUGUUUGGGUUGGAACAUGUAAAUGAACAUAAAAUAUUGGAUUCCAUUCAUGGCAUUUAAAAAUGGAAAACACAUGGAAUAUCGAGUGCCAAAAGUGCCAUAAUGUAAAACAAAAAUAACUAAUCAAAUCAAUAUUUAUAUGUGAAAAUUGGAAUAAAAUUAAAAGUGUUCUUUAAUUAAGCACUAACAAAAUGAAUCUAUACAUAACUAAUGCAUAACAUAAUACAUACUGAUAUUUAUAAAAACAAUUCGAUUCAACAGUAAUCAAAAUUAUGAGAUAUUAUAAGAUAAGAUAAAAAUACAAUUUUAAUUCAGUAUGCAUUAAAUUAUAUAAUAUUUGUUGAAAAGUGAAUUUAUCUUAGGCUUCAGCAAGUUUAAUAGGGAGGGCUAACAGAGCCGCAGAGCCUAACAACCAAUCAAAUGUUAGGCAGAAUCUGACAUCAUGAUGACAUCAUUUCUACUUUCUAAAUACCAGAAUAACAAGGGAGCAUUGAUUAAGAAUUGUUUAUUAGCCUCAAUUUCUGAAGUUUAACCACGCUAAAAUUAUAAUGCCUUUAAAUACUUUGAGAGAACAUAGAUGAUGAUGUUUUAAUUACAUUUGGGAAAGUAUUUUAAGGCCACACAAUGUGCUAUGGUGUGGGAUUUGUGCAUGAUGAGAUCAAAAGCAAAGGACCUUGUGAAGAUAAUGGCUUACGCUGGGGAGAGUCCUUAACCAAGACAAAUUAAGUCACAGGCCUUGCAAGUUAAAAGGGCGCUAAGCAACAUAGAAAUCAAGAUUACAGUUUGCAAGUCAGAUCAGGGACAGCAACCUUAAAGUGAAAUUAGAAUCCAAAUCAACUUGUUGUUGCUGAUAGACUGUCCUGUGGUCUAAUGAAACUAAAAGUGGAGUGUUGGGUAACAUAAAAUUUGGGGGUAAAGGGUGAACUUUCAAAUUCCUCAUUAAACUGGCAUUUAGAGAAGAGAAGUUAUUUGGUCAUUCUGACUAACUUAGCACAGAAAAAUUAAAUUGUGAAAUCAAACUUAGAAAAAUAUUUUGAUUUGUCUUGCUAAAGAUCUGGUUUCAAUUCAUAUUUAGUAGAUAAACUAUGUAGUUGUUGGAUUGUGCUCCUUUUGACCCCCGAUAAUGGUGGAAGCGCACGCGAGGUGCGAACAUGAACGAUGGACAAUCCCCUCUCAACAGAGUCAUCAUCAUUAAAA